UACGAAGGGGGCUAGCGUUGCUCGGAAUCACUGGGCGUAAAGCGCACGUAGGCGGAUCUUUAAGUCAGGGGUGAAAUCCCAAGGCUCAACCUUGGAACUGCCUUUGAUACUGGGGAUCUCGAGUCCGGAAGAGGUUGGUGGAACUGCGAGUGUAGAGGUGAAAUUCGUAGAUAUUCGCAAGAACACCAGUGGCGAAGGCGGCUCACUGGCUCGAUACUGACGCUGAGGUGCGAAAGCGUGGGGAGCAAACAGG
rnacentral:rRNA from 1 species